UACGUAGGUGGCAAGCGUUGUUCGGAAUUACUGGGCGUAAAGCGUGCGCAGGCGGUUUUGUAAGCCAGAUGUGAAAUCCCCGGGCUCAACCUGGGAAUGGCAUUUGGGACUGCAAGGCUGGAGUUUGGCAGAGGAGACUGGAAUUCCCGGUGUAGCAGUGAAAUGCGUAGAUAUCGGGGGGAAUACCGAUGGCGAAGGCAGGUCUCUGGGCUAUAACUGACGCUCAUGCACGAAAGCGUGGGGAGCAAACAGG
rnacentral:rRNA from 1 species